GGACAGGGAACAGACAGACCUGACAGAUGGUGUCCAACAAAAGUGCCGUUUUAUUGUUAAGGCAGGUUAGAAUUGAUUUCUCUGUAAGUCCUUUGACUAACAAGCCAGCUGGUUCCACUAAGACGAAAACUCUUCCCAUUUGGCUGCUUUCUCCAUGUAAUUCCUUUUUUUCGGGAGAUGUGUAUUUGUCAAAGAUACACAUGGUUGGGAACAGUGCAGAUGGCUGCAGAUUUACUGCCUUCUCCUUUGGCCCUCCGCAGCUUGGAUAUCUUGUGGCUCUCACAUCACUGGGCCUGAUACAAAGCUACUAAAUCACGCUUUGGCAAAAUCUCAUUUCUCCUCCUCUCUCUCUCUUCUGUCUGAUCCCACACACUUCAAUACUGACUAUUGACUAAGAAUGAGGUCUAACACCCUGGAGUGUGCAGCCUGGAGGACAUCACUUUUAUCAACCACCUUACCAGGAUUCCCAUCUGUCUCUAACUACCAAACUGUAAAAUAUGUUAUGAUAUAGGACCUUUCUUUAAUUAGGGACUGGUAAACUUUACAUCUUUGCAGUGGUUCUUUCUGGUUGACAAAGUUCUUUUUGUGCAAACACGUCCAAAAUAUUCAAAUACUAUUUAAAGGAUGACAUGUUUAAGACGCACGCCCUGGGGGCUAGGUGUACAUGCACUGGUAUGCUGCAUUCCAGCCACCGGGUGGCUAAAUCCCAAUUUUAAUUGCAUCAGGAACUCUGCCAAAUCACUGUGCAGACUACUACUGUGGCAGCAACACUGUAGAGACGUUAAAGCUUCAAACCUGUUUCCAAUAAGACAGAGUCGGUCAUAUGUCUACAUAUCUCACUUUCACAUGGAUUACUGAGCUCUAAAAUUACAAAAUCAGAAAAUGUUUAAAUCAAGCUCGUGAUCAGAUUUGAAUACUUAUUUUUUUCUCUUAAAAAGUCUUAACAAAAAACAAGCUGACACACACUGGCCAUGUUUUGAUUUAAAUGCUUAACGACAUUUGAGAGUUUUCCUCCUGUCGCCUCGUCAGGAAACACAUGACCAGGUGCCCAUAUUUAAUUCAUGACCCGUCACAUCUGCCUGGUUUGGAGAGGGCUCAGCAAAAAAAAAAAAAAAAAAA